UACGGAGGGUGCAAGCGUUAAUCGGAAUUACUGGGCGUAAAGCGCACGUAGGCGGCUUUCUAAGUCGGGGGUGAAAUCCUGGAGCUCAACUCCAGAACUGCCUUCGAUACUGGAGAGCUCGAGUCCGGGAGAGGUGAGUGGAACUGCGAGUGUAGAGGUGAAAUUCGUAGAUAUUCGCAAGAACACCAGUGGCGAAGGCGGCUCACUGGCCCGGUACUGACGCUGAGGUGCGAAAGCGUGGGGAGCAAACAGG
rnacentral:rRNA from 1 species